rnacentral:rRNA from 1 species
UACGAAGGGGGCUAGCGUUGCUCGGAAUCACUGGGCGUAAAGGGUGCGUAGGUGGCGCUGUAAGUCGGGUGUGAAAUUUCGGAGCUUAACUCCGAAACUGCAUUCGAUACUGCGGUGCUUGAGGACUGGAGAGGAGACUGGAAUUCAUGGUGUAGCAGUGAAAUGCGUAGAGAUCAUGAGGAAGACCAGUGGCGAAGGCGGGUCUCUGGACAGUUCCUGACGCUGAGGCACGAAGGCCAGGGGAGCAAACGGG